GGGAGAGGAGGAAGGGAGGUGGGGGGCCGGCCGUCUCUGUGCCUCCUCGACGCCGAGCUGCGGCUGCUCCGUGUGUGUGCGCUCUCUCUCUCUCUCAGGGGCGAGAAGGCGGAGGCAGGAGCGGCUGCUUCGGGCCCCGAUCUGGGGAGGGUACGAGGCAGGGAAGGACGCCGUCCCUUUCAUUCUCUCUCUGAUUCGUCCUCUUCCCUCUUUCCAUCCCUCCUGCUCGCCAGCGGUUCCUCCUCCCCUGCCUCCUCACGUCGCCCUCAAGUCUGAGGCAACGAGUUUGCUUCCUCUGCUCCGUUCAUGUCAUUGAGCUUUUUCCUUGGGCAUAGCACCACAUUUGCGGCAGCACACCGGAGUCAAUUUGGUUGACUAGCAAUAGAGCAAAGGUGUCCUCCAGGUUCUGCAUCAUCAGUGUGUACCUCUAGAUUCUGCAUCAUUAGUGAGCAACUUACCUAAGCAACCGAGCCCAAUCAACAAUUGGUAGAAGUAGUUAUGAGAUGAGGCAGAGGAGAGCAGAGAGGACCGGAGAAGGAGUUGCGGACCUCGCCAACAAGGCCGUGACCCUACAUCACUAAAAAAAUGCGCCGUAUUUGUUUCUCAUGCUUUACCAUGGCAUGUUCUUAUUAGUUCAGGUUGGUCUCUCCGGUUCUUUUCGCCAAUGGCUUGAUGUACGCACUGGCAACCUCUUACUGGAAGGAUUCGGCAUGCCUCUGUUCGAGAGAUGGGAUAUGAAGAAAUGGCGUUCUGUAGGUUGUCUUCAUGUCGCUGUUGUGCUACUGCUAGGCAUGAACAGAAUGGCCUCCUCUUAUUGCGAACCACACUGAUGUUGGCUUCUGAUUUCUGCUGUAAUGGAUUAUUUACUAUGGACAAAUAUGGCAAUAUUCAUUUGGAGCACCGUUUCUUGAGGAUAUGUCUCUUCUACAGGGGGAGAUCCCCGGCCUCUGCAUCAGAACGAUGCAUACAUGAUAUCGGUACUUUUUAUAACUGAUCCAUGUUCUUGGAAUACUUUAUUUUAUUUCAUUAAUAAGCAAGGGUGGAUGGUGGCUUGCAGUGUGCUUGUACUAAAAAAGGUGUUCUGCCAUCCCAUGGAUUCUAGCACAGCUUGAAGCGGCCAAGUCAAGGAGGACCUAUAAAAUUAUUUGAUCGUCUCUCGCUCUCUCUCUCUCUCUCU